UUCUUUGGUUAUCUAGCUGUAUGAUUGCCUUCGUUCAUAAAGCUAGUUGACCGAAGUG
rnacentral:pre_miRNA from 1 species